rnacentral:rRNA from 1 species
GAUGAACGCUGACAGAAUGCUUAACACAUGCAAGUCUUUGGCGAAGCUGUGCUUGCACAGCCUAGCCAAGGCGGACGGGUGAGUAACGCGUAAGGAACUUGCCCUGCAGUCAGGGAUAACAGACGGAAACGACUGAUAAGACCUGGUAAAGUCAGGCGGACUCAUGUCCAGCCUGAUGAAAAGAGAUGCUGCAGGAGAGCCUUGCGUCCUAUUAGCUUGUUGGUGGGGUAACGGCCCACCAAGGCGAUGAUAGGUAGCCGGCCUGAGAGGGUGGACGGCCACAAGGGGACGGAGAUACGGCCCUUACUCCUACGGGAGGCAGCAGUGGGGAAUAUUGGACAAUGGGGGCAACCCUGAUCCAGCAAUUCGGUGUGCACGAUGAAGGUUUUCGGAUUGUAAAGUGCUUUCAGCAGGGAAGAAAAAAUGACGGUACCUGCAGAAGAAGCGACGGCUAAAUACGUG